GAUGAACGCUGGCGGCGUGCCUAAUACAUGCAAGUCGAGCGAACAGACGAGGAGCUUGCUCCUCUGACGUUAGCGGCGGACGGGUGAGUAACACGUGGAUAACCUACCUAUAAGACUGGGAUAACUUCGGGAAACCGGAGCUAAUACCGGAUAAUAUAUUUAACCGCAUGGUUCAAUAGUGAAAGACGGUUUUGCUGUCACUUAUAGAUGGAUCCGCGCCGCAUUAGCUAGUUGGUAAGGUAACGGCUUACCAAGGCAACGAUGCGUAGCCGACCUGAGAGGGUGAUCGGCCACACUGGAACUGAGACGCGGUCCAGACUCCUACGGGAGGCAGCAGUAGGGAAGCGUCCGCGAUGGGCGAAAGCUUGACGGAGCAACGCCGCGUGAGUGAUGAAGGUCUUCGGAUCGUAAGACUCUGUUAUUGGGGAAGAACAAAUGUGUAAGUAACUAUGCACUUCUUGACGGUACCUAAUCAGGAAGCCACGGCUAACUACGUG
rnacentral:rRNA from 1 species